rnacentral:rRNA from 1 species
GACGAAGGUGGCGAGCGUUGUUCGGAAUCACUGGGCAUAAAGCGCACGUAGGCGGCCAACUAAGUCAGACGUGAAAUCCCUCGGCUUAACCGGGGAACUGCGUCUGAUACUGGAUGGCUAGAGGUUGGGAGAGGGAUGCGGAAUUCCAGGUGUAGCGGUGAAAUGCGUAGAUAUCUGGAGGAACACCGGUGGCGAAGGCGGCAUCCUGGACCAAUUCUGACGCUGAGGAGCGAAAGCCAGGGGAGCAAACGGG